rnacentral:rRNA from 1 species
GAUGAACGCUAGCGGCAGGCCUAAUACAUGCAAGUCGAACGGCAGCACGGGAGCAAUCCUGGUGGCGAGUGGCGAACGGGUGAGUAAUAUAUCGGAACGUGCCCAGUCGUGGGGGAUAACGCAGCGAAAGCUGUGCUAAUACCGCAUACGAUCUCUGGAUGAAAGCGGGGGACCUGCAAGGGCCUCGCGCGAUUGGAGCGGCUGAUAUCAGAUUAGCUAGUUGGUGGGGUAAAAGCUCACCAAGGCGACGAUCUGUAGCUGGUCUGAGAGGACGACCAGCCACACUGGAACUGAGACACGGUCCAGACUCCUACGGGAGGCAGCAGUGGGGAAUUUUGGACAAUGGGCGCAAGCCUGAUCCAGCAAUGCCGCGUGCAGGAUGAAGGCCUUCGGGUUGUAAACUGCUUUGUACGGAACGAAAAAGCUACUUUUUUAAUAAAGUCGAGUUCAUGACGGUACCGGUAAGAAUAAAGCACCGG